UCUGCACCUGCGCCCCAAAGGGCUGGGGCCCUCGCAGAACAAGCGGUGAAACUGCGAAUGGGGCGGGCAGCUCAGGGUGCCAGGGGCCAGAGAACCAGCCCCGCAGCCAGCCCGCAACUCCAGAGCAGGCCUCCCGGAGGAAGGGAAGACGGAGGUGAGACGAACACUUAUUAAGCACUUGCUGUGUGCACCGACGCCUGUGAGUUUACACGCCUCUUCCCACUGAUCACACAACAGUCCCGACAGAACACCGUCACCUGCCCGGUUCAGUGCUGUAUCUCCAGAGCCUACAACAGCAAGUGUUCAGCAUAGAUUAACUGGACAAAAACAAUUAACUCCUUAUUAGGGACUCCAGAUGCACUCCAUCCCGGAAGCCUCUCCAAACUGCUCCAGCUUCAGCAAUCACUCCCUGCCUCCAGGCGCUCACUGGGUGUCACCGUUUUCCCUCUGGGGUCCUAAGCUAGGCGGUCCGAUUGCUCUAGCUCCCAACACCGGAGGGUCUGCUUACCAGCUGUGUGACCUGAGCUAGCUCCUCAACCUCUCUGAGCCGUAGGUCCCUAAUGUGAGGCAGAGGUGGCAUUUCCAGCCUCACGGAGUUGUGAAGAGGAUGAAAUGAGAUCAAGUCUGUAAAGGCCAACAAGAGAGCCUGGCAGUCAACAGGCACUCGGGAAAUGGCGAGUCCUUUUCCACCCCUGUCUCUGACUUCCUCUUCCCUUUCCUAAAAAAGACAGCCUGAUGGAACAGAAAGCAUAAGAGAGUCACAGGACCUGGGUUCUCCUUCUCUGUAAAAUGAGGCCAUUAGGUAACUGAUGAACGUGUUCGAAUGCUCAUUCAUUCAUUCAUUUAUUCAAAUUCUACUCCACCAAUGACAUUCUCUGCAACCAGCAGGUGGUUUCCAUCUGCUAAUUCACCUGUGUCUUACACGUCAGUAUCCCCUUUGGUCUCUAGCUGGGUGCCUGGCAUGGA